rnacentral:rRNA from 1 species
UGGGGAAUAUUGCACAAUGGGCGCAAGCCUGAUGCAGCCAUGCCGCGUGUGUGAAGAAGGCCUUCGGGUUGUAAAGCACUUUCAGCGAGGAGGAAGGUGGUGGACUUAAUACGUUCAUCAAUUGACGUUACUCGCAGAAGAAGCACCGGCUAACUCCGUGCCAGCAGCCGCGGUAAUACGGAGGGUGCAAGCGUUAAUCGGAAUUACUGGGCGUAAAGCGCACGCAGGCGGUUUGUUAAGUCAGAUGUGAAAUCCCCGGGCUCAACCUGGGAACUGCAUUUGAAACUGGCAAGCUAGAGUCUCGUAGAGGGGGGUAGAAUUCCAGGUGUAGCGGUGAAAUGCGUAGAGAUCUGGAGGAAUACCGGUGGCGAAGGCGGCCCCCCUGGACGAAGACUGACGCUCAGGUGCGAAAGCGUGGGGCAGCAAACAGGAUUAGAUACCCUGGUAGUCCACGCUGUAAACGAUGUCGAUUUGGAGGUUGUGCCCUUGAGGCGUGGCUUCCGGAGCUAACGCGUUAAAUCGACCGCCU